GUGAGGACGACACGUGUUACAUCAUUAUCAAACCCAUCCCCAGCAACGUAAACCUCCAGAAGGAAAGGCCAGUUUGGUGUCUUUCAUCCUAGAAGGUCACGGAGAAACCAUUACGUAAAAUGUGCCAUGGGGUGUAGAGGUUGGGUGAGAAAGGGACGUAUUGCUUCAUUAUCAAGCAGGUACAAUAGCCGCAAGGCUUAAGAGGUUAGGGUGAGAAAAAAUUGUAUAAAAGGAGAGAGAAAAGGCGAAAGAAAUCAGUCGAAUGGGCAUCUCAGACACGUCAACAACUGCUGCAGCUCACUUUUUGUCACCAUCUUCUUCGUCGUUUAAUUCAAUUCGCAAUCAUAGUUAAUUAUGGUGUUGUUCUGCUGUCCGGUGUUGUAUCGUUGAUUUCUGGGUCGACCACGAGUGUACCGAUGUCUCCUGGAUACGGUGGCCCCGAGUUACUUUUCCAAAGCGCCCGAGUACUACACUGAGGCCCCAAGUACUACACCACCACAGCUCCAGACUACUACACCAAGGCUCCAGUUUAUUACACCACUAAAGCAAUCGAAUAGUACACCGAAGUGCCAAAUUACUACUCUGCAAUCUACGCUGCCCCAGCUUGCACCACCAAGGGACCGGAGUACUGCACCACAACCUACGCUGCCCCAGUUCACUACACCGCCCUGAGACACAACCACAUCUGAGGCAGCCAGUAUUACUGCACAGCGGCCGCCUCUUAGUACUAAACUGAACUGGGAUACUACACUGAUGCUCCAGUUUACUACACCACAACCUACGUUACAGCUAGAUGCUACACCGAAGCCUUCAAGUACUGCACUGGCAAGGCCGAAUAUUACACAACCACGUUUGCUGCCCCAGUCUAUUACACCGAGGAACCCAAGUAUUACUCUGCUCCAAGCAACUAUCGUACAGAGGCUCCUGUUGACUACAGAAUCCAUGCCCCGGGGUUUUACACCACAACCUACGCUGCCCCCAUCUACACCACCAAGGCCCACACAACCAAGGCAACCGAGCUACUACUUAGGCUGCUCCGACCUUCUGCACCGAAGCUGCGAAGUAUUCCACUGCUCCAAGUUACUACACCACCAAGGCACCUGAAUGUUACAUCACAACCUACGCUUCUCCAGUUUACUACAUAAUGGUGAAGCCAGAAAUGGAAACAGUUAACUAUCCGUGCUGUUGUUUGGUGUAUCGUUGAUGGUCGAGUCGUCCACUGGUGUACCGAUGUCCCCUGGGUGUGGCAGAUACCCAACCGCAACGCUACUGCUUUACAUGUACUACACAGCAAACAUACGCAAACAGUUCCUACACCUAAAAGGCCGUAUACUACACAAGGGCGUAUGCUACACCAGUUUACUUCACCGAGGAAUUCAAGUAUUACUCUUCUCCGAGCAAAUACCAAACAGAGGCUCAGACUGUUUACUACACUACCAUCGCCCUCGAGGGUUACACUACAACCUCGCUGCCCCCAACUACUACACUGUAGCACAACCAAUUCGCAAUUGUUUAUUUUUACGUCGUGCUGCUGUUGGUUGUUCUAUCGUUGCUAACGUUUUGACCACUGUACCGAACUCCACCGACUUUGGUUAUUAACGACAAGAGAUGUAUGUCAAUAGGUGCAAUAGCCGUAAAGUUUAAAAUGUGAAACAGGAAAAGAAAAACUCGGAUAAAAGAAGAGAGAAAAGGCGAUUUAUCAAUUGAAUGAGCAUCUCCUACCCGGCAGCAAUUGCAUUCUUCCAAUACUCAAUCAAAGGAGUACUACACCACCAAGGCAGCGGAGUACUACACCACCAAGGCAGCGGAGUACUACACCACCAAGGCAGCGGAGUACUACACCACCAAGGCAGCGGAGUACUACACCACCAAGGCAGCGGAGUACUACACCACCACCACCGUAUGCUGCUCCAGCCUUUUAGUCCGAGGUUCCCAAGUACUACUCCGUUCCCAGCUACUUCAAAGAGGCUCCAGCUUAUUACGCCACAACGCGGUCAAAAACUACACCGAAGCGCCUAAGUAAUACACCAAGGCACCCAAGUACUACAUCGACGAGUCCGCAUGUUGCACUACAACCCACGCUGCCCUCAGCUACCAUACCGAGGCUCCGCUCCCAUACCGAUGGUUCCAAAUACUACACAACCAAGGCACCCGAGCUAUACUUAGGCUGCUCCGACCUACUGCACCGAAGUUGCGAAGUAUUCCACUGCCCCGAGUUACUACACCACCAAGGCACCUGAAUGUUACAUCAUUACCUUCGCUUCUCCAGUUUACUACAGGGAGGUUUUGCAUACCAGAGCCGAAAUGCAUACCGAGGUUCAGAUUUGUUGGUCAUAUCUCUAGUUACUAGUGAUUGGGAAUCGUUGUUGAUCUUAAAUGAGAAAAUAAAUUUUUAAAUGGUAA